rnacentral:rRNA from 1 species
CAGUAGCCACGGUAAUACGGAGGAUCCGAGCGUUAUCCGGAAUUAUUGGGUUUAAAGGGUGCGUAGGCGGAUAGAUAAGUCAGUGGUGAAAGACGGUGGCUCAACCAUCGCAGUGCCGUUGAUACUGUUUAUCUUGAAUAUGGAUGAGGUAGGCGGAAUGUGGCAAGUAGCGGUGAAAUGCAUAGAUAUGCCACAGAACACCGAUUGCGAAGGCAGCUUACCAAGGCAAAAUUGACGCUGAGGCACGAAAGCGUGGGGAUCGAACAGGAUUAGAUACCCCUGUAGUCCCUGUCUCUUAUAC